rnacentral:rRNA from 1 species
AUUGAACGCUGGCGGCAGGCCUAACACAUGCAAGUCGAGCGGAGCGGCGGACGGGUGCGUAAUGCCUAGGAAUCUGCCUGGUAGUGGGGGAUAACGUCCGGAAACGGGCGCUAAACAGCAACCUCUCCGAUGGACCUAGGUCGGAUUAGCUAGGUGGUGGGGGAAAGGCCUACCAAGGCGACGAUCCGUAACUGGUUUGAGAGGAUGAUCAGUCAAACUGGAACUGAGACACGGUCCAGACUCCUACGGGAGGCAGCAGUGGGGAAUAUUGGACAAUGGGCGAAAGCCUGAUCCAGCCAUGCCGCGUGUGUGAAGAAGGUCUUCGGAUUGUAAAGUACUUUAAGUUGGGAGGCGUUACCAACAGAAUAAGCACCGGCUAACUUCGUGCCAGGAGCCGGGGUAAUAC